rnacentral:lncRNA from 1 species
ACUGGAGCUGAAUUGCGCCUUGCUAUCCUUACUCAAGGUUGCAUAUAUUGAUGGUGAAAAGGAAGAGUUUUCUUAUUACAGUCUAUCCAUGGAAACUUCUUAAAGAAAGAGAAAUUGAUUUUGUAGAUCAGAUUUUACCACCCCAGGAGCUGAACUGAGUCCAGGCUCACUGCAAAGGAAUCACAAUUAAGAGAAAGUAGUACUAAUAGUAAAAAUAAAUAUUAGAUUAGGUAUUUUCUAGAGGUAAAGCUUCAGCAGUUGAAAAGGGAGGUAAGAACAUGCAUAAUACCAGGUAAAGGAGAUCGUUCCCAGAAAAGAAAGAUUAUUUUUAAAUGUGCCUCCAAAUAACCCUGUUAUAUUAUUAACACAUCCUUUCAACUUGGGUCAUGGCUGAAUAAAGCUUCCUACACAGGUUGUCCUAUAGAUACAAACUCUAAGUCACAUAAAAGCAAUCCAAUCCUAUUUGCAUUGUCAGUCUAUGAUACAAAAUGCUGCAAUGACCUCUUUUUUUAAGUCCAGUGCUAUCUAUAAAAUAGGCUUAGGCCUUUUUGUUCUUAAAGAGGUCAGCUGUUGCUUUGCUUUCUUAAUGAGCUUCAGACAUUCCCAGAGAGCUUUCUAAUAUUGCAGACAUACCCAGCCCCAGGCAAGACACUCGCAGCCUCUGCCAACACCUAAGCUUUGCAGACAGAUCACAUGUGACAGGUUAUGCAACUCAGCUGGGCUUUAUAUAUGAGUACGAUGUUAGCAUUCAAGGAACCUACAGGGAAAAGAGCACCAGGGAGUGAAAUUCAACAAAGACUUAGAAAUAAUGGUUAUCCCUCUGCGGAGAAUGACACCUGGGUAUAUAAGGUUGCUGCAGACUCAAGCUGCAGGAAAAAUAGUUAUCAACUCAUCAGACGUACUGCUGCAACGGGCAGCCUUGCUCCUGGGCACGCUUGGGAUCAGUCUCUCCAGCUACAGCACACACCAGCUGGCUCAACAGAAGAGACUUUCCGUGACCCGUUAAGCUGUGCUGAGAUGUGAUCUGAGAAGUAAAUGCUUGUGUCAGUAAUGCUGACAAGAAACUUUUCUGUCUCCGUUGCUGGUGUGGAGGUAAUGAGACACGUUACAGCCUCGAUUUCUACAUGCAGAGUUAAAAAGAUGAAAGAAUACAGACUUCUUCAGGGAAGAAAAAAGCAUCAUGACUAAUGGAAAUCACAUUUCCAGGAACUUGUAAAUACAGUGGAUCUUGGUGGUCUCGUGAGGUCCCUUCCAACCCCUGCAAUUCUGUGAUUCCGUGAUUUUGUUUGUUAUCCAGUGUAUACAUAGAGAGACAUCCAAAUCAGAGUAGAUAUAAACAGAAGGAUGAGGGUGCCAUGCUUAUUUAGCAUCACCUUGCUACAGCUUUUGCAAAUUGACUCCUAUCCAAAGACUGGUUUUGAAAAGGAAAGUCGGAAACAAUACAUUCCUCAUAAGAGUCAAACUGGAUAAAGAGAAUCUUUCAUAGGCUGUUUGUACAUUUAUAUCUAACUAGAAAUACACAUCUGUGUGAGGAAUCGUGCACUCUAACUGUUAAUAUUGAAUCUUAAACUUUUUAAAAUACCUUUUGUAUAGAAAUGUGUGUGUGUUGUAGCACAUGCUGAUUUCUUUGUGCAACAGCAGAGAUGGCUGAAGGCUCUGCCAUCACUACACUGCUGGAAAGGAACCGUGACAGCAGUCCAGAUGACUUUGUAAUCCUGUACAGAAACACUCUACUCUAGAAAGGAUCAGUAAAAAUUUGGGGCUGAGUUUUCUUGUAGAGCUAAACAUCUGAUUGUAUUCCUCUGCAGAAACCCCUCAUCUCAAAAUAUACGUGCUGAUUAAAAUAGAGAUUGACCUUCCUUCCUUUUCCCCUGUUUUCUUGUUCUUCUUACUCAGUAUAAUAGCUUAUUCAGGAAUGUUCUGUUACUUUUGGAUAGCAUUUUUCCAACUGUUUCCAAUGCUCUGUGUAAACAUGGCUUUGUAGACUCUUGCAUGCAUAUGUUACUGUUUGAUAUCCUUUGUUCUCACUUAAUAAAUGCAAAUAUAUUUUUUCA